AUUAUUAGUUCGAGAAGAUUUGUUUUACUGACAUGUGUAUCUGCUUGAACAGAUUUGCAAUUGCAUUUUAAACAUUCGAGUGUUUUAUUUGACCGUUUUAUUCGAAAAUUUAUCAGGAUUAACAUUUAGAAUAACAAGAUAAUUAUCAAUUUUGUCGGAGAAUUAAUUUGUGACAUGUGUGAAGAAUCAAAGAAACAAUAAACAGAAGAAGCUUAAUUUGACAGUUAAAAAUAUCAACGUUAAGGAACAAUGUUUAUAAAUAUAUUGUUAUUAUAUCGAUUCAUAUUUAUUAUAUCGAUAUAUUAUUAUUACGUACAUUAUGGAAGAAAAGGACGAUUUCUUCAUCUUUUACCGGGACCUCCGAGCGUUCCGAUUUUUGGU
rnacentral:lncRNA from 1 species